rnacentral:lncRNA from 1 species
GGCAGGCCGACCUGAGUUGCGACGUGCACCGUAUUGACGUGAUUCGCAAACUUAGGCAGGCCAACUCGAGACGCAAGGUGUACCGAAGUGAGACGCCCAUCCGGAGGAGGACUUCGCUGGGACGAAAUAGAAUAUUGGAUUAUUAUUUUGACUUAUUUUGUACAUAAUUUAGAAUUAAUAGAUUUGCUUUGUUUUCAA